GGUCUCUUCGCUUCCUCCACAAGUCUUCUUCCUCCUGGAAGGCUCUCCUGCCAUGCCUGGGCUGUCUGUUACCCUGAUGGUUUGUCUGGGUCUGUGACUGAGACCACGUAUCACUGGGAACCUCGUUCAUGGAGCAGUUCCUUCAUGACAGGACAUCAAUGUCAGAGCAGGUUUAUGAACUGUCCAAGACAUGUUUUAAAAGUCAUGAAAUGCGUUAGUAAAGCAUUAACUGCAACCAUUCUCCAGUGGUCUCUGUCACCAUGGACCUCUUCUCUUCCACUGCCUAUGCUGAAAACCACUCAGAGAAGCCUCCAGUCACCCCCACAGGGGAAAGUCAGCUAGCACCAGGAGGGAAACAAGAGGGUUUCCCCUUCAGCUUUCCAGUUUGGGGGAAUAUAGCAAAUGACGUAAAAAUCCCUCUUGUAUACUGUAUGCAAUCAAGAUUUGUCAUAAUACAAAUGACAGAAGAACAAAGCUUUCACUCCACUUC